rnacentral:rRNA from 1 species
UACGUAGGUGGCAAGCGUUGUCCGGAUUUAUUGGGUUUAAAGGGUGCGUAGGCGGCCCUGUAAGUCAGUGCUGAAAUAUCCCGGCUUAACCGGGAGGGUGGCAUUGAUACUGCGGGGCUUGAGUAAAGUUGAGGUUGGCGGAAUUGACGGUGUAGCGGUGAAAUGCUUAGAUAUCGUCAAGAACACCUAUUGCGAAGGCAGCUAACUAAGCUUUAACUGACGCUGAGGCACGAAAGUGUGGGGAUCAAACAGGAUUAGAAACCCGGGUAGUCC